AACGAACGCUGGCGGUGUGCUUAACACAUGCAAGUCGAACGAGAACGUUUCCUUCGGGGAACUAGUAAAGUGGCGCAAGGGUGAGUAACACGUGAAUAAUCUGCCCUCGAGAUCGGGAUAACUUGGCGAAAGCUAAGCUAAUACCGGAUAAGACCACAUUUCAUAAGGAAUGCGGAAAAAGGAGUCUCAACCUUCACUCGAGGAUGAGUUCGCGGACCAUUAGCUUGUUGGUGAGAUAAAAGCUCACCAAGGCUACGAUGGAUAGCCGGCCUGAGAGGGUGAUCGGCCACACUGGAACUGAGACACGGUCCAGACUCCUACGGGAGGCAGCAGUGGGGAAUAUUGCACAAUGGGCGCAAGCCUGAUGCAGCAAUGCCGCGUGUGUGAAG
rnacentral:rRNA from 1 species